GCGGCCAUCGUAUAAUGGCCAUUACCUCAGCCUUCCAAGCUGAAGAUGCGGGUUCGAUUCCCGCUGGCCGCUCCA
rnacentral:tRNA from 2 species